UACGUAGGGCGCAAGCGUUAUCCGGAAUUAUUGGGCGUAAAGAGCUCGUAGGCGGCUUGUCACGUCGGGUGUGAAAGCCCGGGGCUUAACCCCGGGUCUGCAUUCGAUACGGGCUAGCUAGAGUGUGGUAGGGGAGAUCGGAAUUCCUGGUGUAGCGGUGAAAUGCGCAGAUAUCAGGAGGAACACCGGUGGCGAAGGCGGGUCUCUGGGCCACUACUGACGCUGAGAAGCGAAAGCAUGGGGAGCGAACAGG
rnacentral:rRNA from 1 species